AUUGAACGCUGGCGGCAGGCCUAACACAUGCAAGUCGAGCGGUUGACGGGAGCUUGCUCCCUGAUUCAGCGGCGGACGGGUGAGUAAUGCCUAGGAAUCUGCCUAUUAGUGGGGGACAACGUUUCGAAAGGAACGCUAAUACCGCAUACGUCCUACGGGAGAAAGCAGGGGACCUUCGGGCCUUGCGCUAAUAGAUGAGCCUAGGUCGGAUUAGCUUGUUGGUGAGGUAAUGGCUCACCAAGGCGACGAUCCGUAACUGGUCUGAGAGGAUGAUCAGUCACACUGGAACUGAGACACGGUCCAGACUCCUACGGGAGGCAGCAGUGGGGAAUAUUGGACAAUGGGCGAAAGCCUGAUCCAGCCAUGCCGCGUGUGUGAAGAAGGUCUUCGGAUUGUAAAGCACUUUAAGUUGGGAGGAAGGGUUGUAGAUUAAUACUCUGCAAUUUUGACGUUACCGACAGAAUAAGCACCGGCUAACUCUGUGCCAGCCGCCGCCGUAA
rnacentral:rRNA from 1 species